GACGAACGCUGGCGGCGUGCUUAACACAUGCAAGUCGAACGGAAAGGCCCAGCUUGCUGGGUGCUCGAGUGGCGAACGGGUGAGUAACACGUGGGUGAUCUGCCCCUAACUUCGGGAUAAGCUUGGGAAACUGGGUCGAAUACCGGAUAGGACAAUCGUUUAGUGUCGGUGGUGGAAAGUUUUUUCGGUUAGGGAUGAGCCCGCGGCCUAUCAGCUUGUUGGUGGGGUAAUGGCCUACCAAGGCGUCGACGGGUAGCCGGCCUGAGAGGGUGGACGGCCACAUUGGGACUGAGAUACGGCCCAGACUCCUACGGGAGGCAGCAGUGGGGAGUAUUGCACUAUGGGCGCAAGCCUGAUGCAGCGACGCCGCGUGGGGGAUGACGGCCUUCGGGUUGUAGACCUCUUUCGACAGGGACGAAGCUUUGGUGACGGUACCUGUAUAAGAAGCACCGGCUAACUACGUG
rnacentral:rRNA from 1 species